rnacentral:rRNA from 1 species
CCCUGCCAUUUGUACACACCGCCCGUCGCUACUACCGAUUGAAUGGUUUAGUGAGACUUUUGGAUUGGCUGGGCCUACGCUGUUUCAGUGUGGGCAUGGCUGAGAAGUUAGUCAAACUUGAUCAUUUA